AGGACAAGGCCAGAGCCAGUUUCCACUACUGUAUACAGCCUGCUGAGUUAAGGUCAUUUGCAUUUGAGCAAAUGGCUAUACUUGGGACUAUAAACUGGGCCACCAUGUCCAGUCAGUAGCUUGACAAUUUAGAAGACAUGCCAGUCCAGAAAUGAAACACCAGCCUGUGGAAGAGUAAGUGGUCAUCCUUCACUGUUGGUGGAACAAUUUGAAAAUCAGACUCUUUUGAUAGCAAGUCCAUAGUUAAACCAUUCAGUUUUGUUUCAUUUACAUCUAAACAUAGCCUGAAGGUAAUUUCAGACAGUCUUUUUAGUGUGCCUGUUUUGUUUUGUUUGGUGCUGGAAAUUUUGAAUGUAGGGUUUCAUACAUGCUAAGCACAUGUCCUGCCACUGAGCUACACUGCCAGCUCCAUGCCUGCAUUUUGACUGUGACUUGUCACAUGAGGUCAGGUGUGGAAUUUUCCAUUCAUGGCAUCAUUUCAGCACUAAAAAAGUUUUGGUUUUUGGAGCAUUUUAGAUAGAGAUACUCAAGUAAAAACAAUAUAGCAAUAAUGACAAUAAUAAAGUUGCUAACAGUUUUAAAGUUCUGUGUGCCAAUGUGUUAGUCAGUUUUUCAUCACUGUGACCACAAUGCCUGACAGGAACAACUUAGAGGAGAAAAAGGUUAUCUUGUGGUCAUGUUUUCAGAGGUUCAGUCCAUGCAUGAUUAACUGACUCCAUUGCUCUGGGCCCAGGUGAGGCAUAACAUCAUGGUGGAAGGGUGUGGUGAAGGAGAGCUGCUCAGCUCAUAGCAGCAGAGGACAGGGACAAAAUAUAUUCCCCAACUGAUCUAUUUCCUUCAGCCACGCUCUAUCUGCCUUCAGUUACCACCCAAUAAUCCAGCAAAUGGAUCAGUCCACUGAUUAGGUUAUGGCUUUUGUAAUCUAAUCAGAUCUUCGGGCAUUGCCACAUGAACUUUUUUAGAGAUAUCUCAUAUCCAAAUAACAGCUAUCACUUCCCUAACUUGUCUUAAUUUAUUUAGUCUCUUAACAUUCCUAUAGGUAUACACUUUUAAAUUUAUUUAUUUAUUUAUUUUUAGUUGUAGAUGGACACAAUACCUUUAUUUUAUUCAUUUAUUUUUUAUGUGGUGCUGAGGAUCAAACCCAGUGUCUCACAUGGGCUAGGCAAGUGCUCUAGCAAUGAGCCACAUUCUAGCCCCAGGUACACACUUUUAAUAUGCCUGUUUCACAGAUGAAUUGAGCCAGGGGUAAGUAAUUUUCCCAUGGUCACUCAGGUACUAAAGCCAGAAUUUGAUUCCAGUUAGUUGAGUUACAGAGGCCCCACAGAUUAUUCCCUUAUAUACUAAAGUCUUUAUUUUCUGCAUUCUGCACAGUUAGCACCAAAUGAUAGCAUAUUCAGAAUCUACUGUUUUCUUCUUUCUUUCCAAUCAUCAUUGCUAGUUUUGAAGAUAAGAUAUUUACAGGUGAACAGAAGCUAGCAUUUAUUAAGCGCCCCAAAUGUG
rnacentral:lncRNA from 1 species